rnacentral:rRNA from 1 species
GAUGAACGCUGGCGGCGUGCCUAAUACAUGCAAGUCGAGCGAACGGACGAGAAGCUUGCUUCUCUGAUGUUAGCGGCGGACGGGUGAGUAACCCGUGGAUAACCUCCCUAUAAGACUGGGAUAACUUCGGGAAACCGGAGCUAAUACCGGAUAAUAUUUUGAACCGCAUGGUUCACAAGUGAAAAACGGUCUUGCUGUCACUUAUAGAUGGAUCCGCGCUGCAUUAGCUAGUUGGUAAGGUAACGGCUUACCAAGGCAACGAUGCAUAGCCGACCUGAGAGGGUGAUCGGCCACACUGGAACUGAGACACGGUCCAGACUCCUACGGGAGGCAGCAGUAGGGAAUCUUCCGAAAUGGGCGAAAGCCUGACGGAGCAACGCCGCGUGAGUGAUGAAGGUCUUCGGAUCGUAAAACUCUGUUAUUAGGGAAGAACAUAUGUGUAAGUAACUGUGCACAUCUUGACGGUACCUAAUCAGAAAGCCACGGCUAACUACGUG